GGAUGUUUCUGCAACUAAACACUUUUUUUUUAAGUGUUGUUGAAAGUCAGAAAUACAAUGGCCAUCCACUCCUGAGUGCCGUAGUUUUAUUCCAGAAAUGAUGAGCACCCGCAACUCACACUGAAGUCAACAUCUUUGGAUCAAAUAUGCCCUCAAUCACAGCUUUGCAAUCUCAGUGACUUCAGAGGGACUGUUUACCCGUCUGUCAAACAGCGUCCCUGCUGGUUCUUCAUUCAGCAUCUGUGCAGCCACGUUCUAUUGAUGGCCUGUUGUGAUUUCAAUGGAACAUCAUGGGAAUGUACCUGGCACGUCAGGCAGCACUGGAUGGAGGUGCCCUUAGUCCUAUGCACCUGGCAUGCUCCCCAGGGGAACCUGUGAAACACCACUACUCUGCGGAGAGGUGAGCGUCCAUGAGAGCCCACGUUUCCUGUGCCUCGUCCCAAAAACCACAAUGAAAUGAACAUGCGAGGAGUAUUCCUGCAGUGCAGAUGGUCGUGGGACAAAGGGAGUGUUGGAGUAGGAAUACAUCCUGAUAAAGCACUUUUCAC
rnacentral:lncRNA from 1 species